UACGGGGGGAGCAAGCGUUGUUCGGAUUUACUGGGCGUAAAGGGCGCGUAGGCGGCCACCGCAAGUCAGUUGUGAAAGCUCUGGGCUUAACCCAGAAAGGUCAGCUGAUACUGCGGGGCUAGAGUGCAGAAGGGGCAACUGGAAUUCUCGGUGUAGCGGUGAAAUGCGUAGAUAUCGAGAGGAACACCUGCGGCGAAGGCGGGUUGCUGGGCUGACACUGACGCUGACAGCGCGAAAGCUAGGGGAGCAAACGGG
rnacentral:rRNA from 1 species